AGUGAACGCUGGCGGUAGGCCUAACACAUGCAAGUCGAACGGCAGCACAGUAAGAGCUUGCUCUUACGGGUGGCGAGUGGCGGACGGGUGAGGAAUACAUCGGAAUCUACUUUUUCGUGGGGGAUAACGUAGGGAAACUUACGCUAAUACCGCAUACGACCUACGGGUGAAAUCAGGGGAUCUUCGGACCUUGCGCGAUUGAAUGAGCCGAUGCCGGAUUAGCUAGUUGGCGGGGUAAAGGCCCACCAAGGCGACGAUCCGUAGCUGGUCUGAGAGGAUGAUCGGCCACACUGGAACUGAGACACGGUCCAGACUCCUACGGGAGGCAGCAGUGGGGAAUAUUGGACAAUGGGCGCAAGCCUGAUCCAGCCAUACCGCGUGGGUGAAGAAGGCCUUCGGGUUGUAAAGCCCUUUUGUUGGGAAAGAAAAGCAGCAGGUUAAUACCCCGCUGUUCUGACGGUACCCAAAGAAUAAGCACCGGCUAACUUCGUG
rnacentral:rRNA from 1 species